GGGGUGACUAGUGACAGAGUGAGGUAGGGGGUGACACAGUGACAGAGUGAGGGAGGGGGUGACACAGUGAGGGAGGGGGUGACACAGUGACAGAGUGAAGGAGGUGGUGACUGUCACUAGUCACCCCAUCCCUCCCUCUGUCACUAAUCACCACCUCCCUCACUCUGUCACUAGUCACCCCCUCCCUCCCUCUCUCUGUCACUAGUCACCCCUUCCCUCCCUCUCUCUGUCACUAGCCACACCAUCCCUCACUUUGUCAGUAGUCGCCCCCUUCCUCACUGUCACUAGUCACCCCC